rnacentral:lncRNA from 1 species
AGAAAAUGAUGUCAUGGGCAUGCCAUUUGAACUUCUCUAUUUAUUCUGUGUCUUUUCCUUAGGACUGUGACAGCACCAUACACAUAUAAAAGACCUGGAGUUCAUGCUUUACCGAGUGGACAGUGAUCUCUUCUCGCCUGUUCCUCUACUUCAGCUACUUACAUGUUUCUCCAUGUUGUGGAAACUCAUGCAAAGUUGUUAUGCUGGUCAGAAAGAAUUCUUAUAACCAAGAGGAAAAGAUAGGACCUGUACUUUACUUUCCUCGGAUCCUCUGGGGGAAAUGGCCUAUGCAGUAUCGUCCACUGUCUUCACAUUUGCAUUCCUUGAUGAGGCUGACCUAAUGGACAAAUGCGUGUGGUUGUGGGCCAAGUUGGAGGUAAAGGAAACACUUGUUCUGCAGAUUAUAGGAGGUGUUUGGGAAGCUG